rnacentral:rRNA from 1 species
UACGAAGGGGGCUAGCGUUGCUCGGAAUCACUGGGCGUAAAGCGCACGUAGGCGGAUCUUUAAGUCAGGGGUGAAAUCCUGGAGCUCAACUCCAGAACUGCCUUUGAUACUGGGGAUCUCGAGUCCGGGAGAGGUGAGUGGAACUCCGAGUGUAGAGGUGAAAUUCGUAGAUAUUCGGAAGAACACCAGUGGCGAAGGCGGCUCACUGGCCCGGUACUGACGCUGAGGUGCGAAAGCGCGGGGAGCAAACAGG